rnacentral:tRNA from 1 species
CCCUGAGUGGGACAAAUGGUUAAGUCGCUUGGCUGUUAACCGAAAGGAUGGUAGGUCAAGUCUACCCAGAGGUG